rnacentral:rRNA from 1 species
CCCUUAGAUGUUCUGGGCCGCACGCGCGCUACACUGAUGCAUUCAACGAGCCUAGCCUUGACCGAGAGGUCCGGGUAAUCUUUGAAACUGCAUCGUGAUGGGGCUAGAUUAUUGCAAUUAUUAAUCUUCAACGAGGAAUGCCUAGUAAGCGUGAUUCAUCAAAUCGCGUUGAUUACGUCCCUGCCCUUUGUACACACCGCCCGUCGCUCCUACCGAUUGGGUGUGUUGGUGAGGAGUUCGGAUUGGCUCUUAGUGGUGGUUCGCCACCACCUAGAGCUGAGAAGUUCUCCAAACCGCCCCACUUAGAGGAAGGAGAAGUCGUAACA